rnacentral:rRNA from 1 species
CCUACGGGCGGCAGCAGUAGGGAAUCUUCGGCAAUGGGGGCAACCCUGACCGAGCAACGCCGCGUGAGUGAAGAAGGUUUUCGGAUCGUAAAGCUCUGUUGUAAGUCAAGAACGAGUGUGAGAGUGGAAAGUUCACACUGUGACGGUAGCUUACCAGAAAGGGACGGCUAACUACGUGCCAGCAGCCGCGGUAAUACGUAGGUCCCGAGCGUUGUCCGGAUUUAUUGGGCGUAAAGCGAGCGCAGGCGGUUAGAUAAGUCUGAAGUUAAAGGCUGUGGCUUAACCAUAGUACGCUUUGGAAACUGUUUAACUUGAGUGCAAGAGGGGAGAGUGGAAUUCCAUGUGUAGCGGUGAAAUGCGUAGAUAUAUGGAGGAACACCGGUGGCGAAAGCGGCUCUCUGGUCUGUAACUGACGCUGAGGCUCGAAAGCGUGGGGAGCGAACAGGAUUAGAUACCCGAGUAGUC